AACGAACGCUGGCGGCAUGCCUAACACAUGCAAGUCGAACGAGACCUUCGGGUCUAGUGGCGCACGGGUGCGUAACGCGUGGGAACCUGCCCUUAGGUUCGGAAUAACUCCCCGAAAGGGGUGCUAAUACCGGAUAAUGUCUUCGGACCAAAGAUUUAUCGCCUUUGGAUGGGCCCGCGUUGGAUUAGCUAGUUGGUAGGGUAAAAGCCUACCAAGGCGACGAUCCAUAGCUGGUCUGAGAGGACGAUCAGCCACACUGGGACUGAGACACGGCCCAGACUCCUACGGGAGGCAGCAGUGGGGAAUAUGGGACAAUGGGCGAAAGCCUGAUCCAGCAAGGCCGCGGGAGUGAUGAAGGCCUUAGGGUUGUAAAGCUCUUUUACCCGGGAUGAUAAUGACAGUACCGGGAGAAUAAGCUCCGGCUAACUCCGU
rnacentral:rRNA from 1 species